rnacentral:rRNA from 1 species
CCUACGGGAGGCAGCAGUAGGGAAUAUUGCACAAUGGGGGAAACCCUGAAGCAGCAACGCCGCGUGGAGGAUGAAGGUUUUCGGAUUGUAAACCCCUUUUGUCAGAGAAGAUAAUGACGGUAUCUAACGAAAAAGCACCGGCUAACUCCGUUCCAGCCGCCGCGGUAAUAAGGUGGGUGACAGGGUUACUCGGAAUCACUGGGCGUAAAGAGCGCGUAGGCGGGAUAGCAAGUCAGAUGUGAAAUCCUAUGGCUUAACCAUAGAACUGCAUUGGAAACUGUUCUGCUAGAGUAUGGGAGAGGUAAGUGGAAUUCUUGGUGUAGAGGUAAAAUGCGUAGAGAUCAGGAGGAAUACUCAUUGCGAAGGCGACCUGCUAGACCAUAACUGACGCUGAGGCGCGAAAGCGUGGGGAGCAAACAGGAUUAGAUACCCCUGUAGUC